CCCCAGCUUCCCUGAUCCCUCCUCUUCCUGCUGCCCUUGCUCUCUCCUUCCUGCUACAUCCAUUGUGCCUUCUCUGGGGCAGUUAAUUCACCUUCCCGCCUAAGCCCCAGGGUCACCCCUAGAAAGCCUUCCUGGGGGCCCCAAGGGAGCGUCAGACUCCCCUUCCCUGUCCUCACACAGCACUCUGUAGCUGUGCUUUCCUCUGUGGUGGCUGCGCAAACUCAACAGUCUGCCCUGUGCCACUCCCCACUCCAGCAGGCCAUGAGCCCCUCCAAAACCAAGCCAGCAGAGCUCGAGUUCUCAGUGAGGGCUGGCACUGCCGUGCAGAGCCCCCAUUUCUAAAUGGGAAGACAGAGCACCCAGCCAGGAGUUGUGCAUGCUGCGCCAGGGCAUGGGAGGUUGGCGUAGGGGCCAGUUCUCAUGGUCCAUUUCGGAGAGGCCUUGUAUGGUGGUGAAAUGGAAGACAGCUCAAGAGGGGACUACAGGAAUUGGCCUGGAGUCAGGGGAGAGGAGAGAGUUAAGGACCUACUGAGGCAGAGCCCCAUGGACCUGAUGCCUGGCCCCGCCUGUUGUCCUCACUGUCACUUCUGGCCACUGGACUGUGCCUGCCCACCGAGCCCCCCUGAAAGGCCUGCCAGGUGCUCAGACAGGGUCCCUGAGCAGGACAGGAGGCAGUGAGAGAAGGAUCUGUGGGUGUGGCUGGCAGACAGCAGAUGGCAGUGGGCCGACCUGGCUGGCCACCCUCCGGCGGCACUGGACACCCUGUCAGAGCAAGCACAGGUGCUGCAGAGGCGAGAACGCGAGCUGGGACUUGGCAGGGCCCAGUGUGAACUACUGGCUCUGAAGCAGAAAAUGAGGCUCCCGUCCUCUCUCCUUGACCUUCCUUGCUUGUCCGCAACCCCUGGGAGGUCCCUUGAGCUAGCAAAGUCCCCUUACCAGGCUGAACCACAUCUGGUGUCAUGUUCUCAGAAAGAAGGCUUGUCAGGGUCUGGGACACCCAAAGGAAACAGAGGGUAAUCAAGAUCCCAACAGGGCUGCUGUGCUGAACAGUGUCCUCUCUGUGAAUGGCACCCCUUGGAGGCGUGCAGGGCAUUGCGUCGUGUGACUGGGGGCACUGGAUGAAGGCAAAGGGCCCUGUGGGGCCCUGCCCCCCACCCCAGAGAGAGUUGGAGGGAGAUGGCUGGUUUUAGCUCAGUGGACAGAAGAGUUUCCUCAGAAGCCCAGUGGCCUCUGGUGAAAGUUGCACUCCCCAGGGAGAACGAGGGGGCUAUGCAAACUGAGACUUCUAGGGGAGCAUCCCUGCCCCAUGUGAGAGUGUGGACAGCGCCACUCUCACAGUGUGAUGGCCUAGAUACUUAAGCCUUUAGUGACCUGGGGAUCUCAGCCCACAGCUGACCCUCCUAGAGCCACUCCUCCCUACCAGGCCUCAGGGGACCCAGGGGACCCAGUUGACAGCCUGUCUCCUCAUGCCUGCCCACUUUCUGGCAUUCCAUGACAGCGUCCAAGGUCUUGUUGCUGGAGCUCCAAAGCCAUCAGCAGCUGGGGUGGAGAAGGGAAGUGUUUCAGGUCCAGCUGGGGGUGGAGGGUUGCACAUCUGGUGCCUGAGUGAUAAUAGCUGGGCAGCCUCUCAGAGCCGUGGGACACAGUCCCUUGUGUACAAGCCAGGGCACAGGUCCAUGCUGGGCCGUCAGCUGGGCCCCUGGCUGGGUUUAUCACAGCUGGUGGAGCAGGCAGGGCCCUGUGGAGUCAGCCUGCUUUAUCAGAGGCCGCAGACACUGCCAUGCCUUAAAGCGGGUGGAGAGUAGGCAGGGCCAGCCCUCUGCAGGGGCUCCAUGCUGCCUUCAGCCCUACCCACAGCAGGUGGAAUGCUCCCUGGCCCACCUGGAGCAGGAGAGGCACCAGCUGCGGGGAUCUCAGGGACAGGAGUGGAGGAGGCCAAGACAUAGAAGACAAGUGAGGGUGCCGGGAGAUGGGGAGGGGCAGAGUGACAGAGGACAGGCAGAUAGACCCUUCUGUCCCCAGGAUCCUGCUACUGUAGACAGAAGUGGAAAAGGCCCAGUGGUGUUUGGACUAGAUGAGCCGACAGCCCCUUGGCCCAGACCCCAGCCUGGGGCCCUCUGGGGUAGGAAUGACCCCAGAGCCCCCUCUAAGCGGGUGCAUGGCAGGGCCCUGACCACUGACCCUGCCGCACCUUUGGCCCUGUCCCAUACUGCAUUCUCUGGUCUUCACUCUUGGAGCAGUAGCUGGGGAAGGAGGCUACUGUGUCAGGUACUGUACAGAGGCUUCUGUUCAGCCAGAGAGGGACCCCCACCCACACAUGCACAUUUGAGAAGACCCUGAGAUCAUCUAGCUAACUCUCCUCCUAGUUCAGAUGGGAAAACAGAGCCCAGAGGGUAGGGAAGAGCUUCUACAGGGUCAUAACAGCAUGGUCUGGAGGCUGAGAGGAGAGCCCAAGAUCCUGGACUGAGUAUAUCUGCAGGAGAUGCUGGCGCCAGGCACGCAGGGCCAGGAGCAGAGCUCGGAUGGGGAUGGGGCCCAGGUACGUCAGGGCCCAGAUGGAGUCUCAAUGGGAGCAGCUGAGACCCUUACCUAGGCUCAGGACACAACCUUCCUGCAGGAGCGGUUGCUGAUGCUCACCCAG
rnacentral:lncRNA from 1 species